UACGGAGGGGGCUAGCGUUGUUCGGAAUUACUGGGCGUAAAGCGCGCGUAGGCGGACCUGCAAGUCGGGGGUGAAAGCCCGAGGCUCAAACCUCGGAACUGCCUUCGAUACUGCGGUCGUCGAGUCCGGGAGAGGUGAGUGGAAUUCCGUAGUGUAGAGGUGAAAUUCGUAGAUAUUAGGAAGAACACCACGAUGGGCGGAAGGGA
rnacentral:rRNA from 1 species